GCUGUAAUAGGCGCAGUACUUGCUCUCUUUAUCAUUACCAUCUUUAUAAUAGUGUUACUGACUCCCAGAAAAAAGCGAUCAUCUUAUUUGGACAAAAUGAUUGAUCUUCCACCAACACACAAGCCUACAUCUUCCUAUGAGAAAAGAAAUAUUUCUCGUUCUCAGAAAGAAAUAAUCAAUGCAGACUAUGUGCAAGGGACAAGCUCGUUGAAGAGAGCCGGUUGGCUCAAUGAAAACCGGAGCCGAAAGGAAAAGAUACAGGAGUUGCAUGCUUUUUCAGUAGAAAAUGAUAAAUUGCAGCCGAUUUAGCUAUGAAGAUGAAAAUCCUGCAUCUCAAAACAGAGAUCAACAAAAGUACCCAGCACCGAAAGAAACAAAUUGCAAAGAUUGGAUCAAUAAGAAACAUCCACAUAUAGGCAAUGGAAGAAUAUAUAUCAAUCCCAGGGAACAUUAUGUAUGAUUGUUUGCGAACUAAUGUUGAAAGAUAUAUUACUUUGUCUAAUCAUAAUUUUACCUAACAUUUUAUAAUCUCUGUGUUUAAGUUAGUGGUUUGCUUUUUUGUGAAAAAAUAUAAAUGUUUAAAGUAUGUCAUCAACCA
rnacentral:lncRNA from 1 species